rfam:Haemonchus contortus, ISE/inbred ISE, WGS project CAVP01000000 data, contig: Hcontortus_34519
GGCCCAAAUUUGAAGUAGAGUAGAUUUGUAGGAUCAGUUGACCCUACUGAACCGCUCUACUUCGAGUUUGUGCCC